rnacentral:rRNA from 1 species
GACGAACGCUGGCGGCGUGCUUAACACAUGCAAGUCGAACGGAAAGGCCCUUCGGGGUACUCGAGUGGCGAACGGGUGAGUAACACGUGGGUGAUCUGCCCUGCACUUUGGGAUAAGCCUGGGAAACUGGGUCUAAUACCGAAUAGGACCACGCGCUUCAUGGUGUGUGGUGGAAAGCUUUUGCGGUGUGGGAUGGGCCCGCGGCCUAUCAGCUUGUUGGUGGGGUAAUGGCCUACCAAGGCGACGACGGGUAGCCGGCCUGAGAGGGUGACCGGCCACACUGCGACUGCGAUACGGCCCAGACGCCUAUGGGAGGCAGCAGUGGGGAAUAUUGCACAAUGGGCGCAAGCCUGAUGCAGCGACGCCGCGUGAGGGAUGACGGCCUUCGGGUGGUAAACCUCUUUCAAUAGGGACGAAGCGCAAGUGACGGUACCUAUAGAAGAAGCACCGGCCAACUACGUG